AUGAGAGAAGCGCACGUAUGGGAUCCGUGCUGAAACAAUUCACAAAACUCUCAGACGAGGAACAGAGAAUGGUGGAACAUGGCAUGAGGGAACACAGCAUGAGGGAACACAGCAUGAAAAUGAAAGACAGAGGGUUCCAGAAGGAUGUUCUCUCAACCCCAGUUCCAGCACACUUGCCCCACAGUAUCUUGGAGGCUGCCCAGACCUCUCAUCCUGUCCAAUCGCUGUAUCAUCCCCAGUCACUUCCAAAUUCCUCUGGAAGACUGGAGAGCAUGACCAUGGACAAAGAAGCAAGACAAAUGAGUGGGGACGGAACAAAGCAAAAGGGAUCACAAGGAAUGGCUGAGCUAUUGACCCGAACAAACUAUCAUGACUACGUGGGACAGAGUGUGACACAAGGGAUUGGAUCAUCAAGGGAGAAGGACUGGGGAGGACAGAAGGGCGCAUCACAAGCGGGAGGAUUCCAAGGGGAUGCAGAAAAGGAUCCCAGCAGAAAGAACUCAGUUACAGAAGACGGCCGAACGAAAUUAACCAUACUGGAAGGAAGCAUGACAGUGGCUGAAGAAGCCUCCAUCGCCAGCAGAACCAGAAGACAGGAUCAAUUAAGAGAGGUGCAGGCCCCCCUCAUGACAACUCAAGGAGGGAACAUGAUAUACCAACCAUGGAGUCAUCGAGACUUGGAGGGUUUGGUGUCCAAACUUCCUCCCCUCAGCGGCGGAGGACAAAAGUGGAUUUCGGAAUUUGAAAAGUAUACUGCAGGAGACAGAGUGUGUGUGGGUGAUUUGAGAUGUGUCAUUGCCAGACUGGAAGGAAGUCUGAAGGCGAGGGAAAUUGACACUAAAACAGGAUGCAGUGGGGCGGAUGAUGAACUGUCGUUCAAUGCAUGCAGGAAUCACUACUGGACUGCCCUGAGAGACACCUACCCCACCACUCGCAGCCUGACAGCUAUGUCCAGCCUGAAGAAAGGAAUUGAAGAAGACAUGCAUCUUUUCUUAAAAAGGAGCGAAGGCGUCUGGAUAGACGGCACUGGAGAGAGACAUGACUCCACCCCAGCAGUCACCAUGCUAUGGAGAAAUGCAGUGAUAAAGGCCCUGCCUCCUCGAGUUCGAGAACAACUGGAGGAUGUGGUGGGACUAGACACAAAGUCUAAUGAGGAAUGGAG
rnacentral:lncRNA from 1 species